rnacentral:lncRNA from 1 species
UAAAUGAUGCACUUUCUAUAUCUGGUUUUCGUCUAUACUGUGUGUGCUAGCGAGUCGACCCAGGGACUAGCACAGUAAAGCACAGAGACUCAAAUCCUUCGAGGUUUGGUCGUUACAGAUGGCAUCAGAGCAAUGCGUUGACUGUAGGUCGUGGCCCUAGAAAAUGGAUUAGAAAAGCUAUAGGAGUGAAAGUUUAUUCUAUUAACUUUGUCUACAUCUUACUCUUUCAUUAGACAACCACUCUAGUAUCU